CGUCUCGGUCUGGAUUGGGCUGACAAGUGAAUGGCUGCUUCUCGUCCAUCCAGAUGCUCGAGCGGGCCUGGAGAAAUACAUGAAAAAGUAAGUUUUUCUUGGAGCUUACAUAAAACUGUGAAGGAAUUUCAGUACAAACCAUUCCACAGAAAGAAGCUGGAUCCACUAGAGACUUAUAUCCCAGGUAUCAUCCUGUGCCAAUCGCAGUUUCAGGAGCUCGGUAAGCCUGUCAAGAGAAAAUACUUUCUUUGAAAGAAGCAAACGAACCUUACGUUGACGACGCUGGAAGUAGAAGCCAAACUUGGCGGCGAGAAGGUCGAGUAUCAAGACGCACGGGCCCUUCUUCGUUCCGG
rnacentral:lncRNA from 1 species